GGUUCUCUCCGAAAUAGCUUUAGGGCUAGCCUCAAGUGAUGAUUAUUGGAGGUAGAGCACUGUUUGGACGAGGGGCCCCUCUCGGGUUACCGAAUUCAGACAAACUCCGAAUGCCAAUUAAUUUAACUUGGGAGUCAGAACAUGGGUGAUAAGGUCCGUGUUCGAAAGGGAAACAGCCCAGACCACCAGCUAAGGUCCCAAAAUAUAUGUUAAGUGGAAAAGGAUGUGGCGUUGCCCAGACAACUAGGAUGUUGGCUUAGAAGCAGCCAUCAUUUAAAGAGUGCGUAAUAGCUCACUAGUCGAGUGACACUGCGCCGAAAAUGUACCGGGGCUAAACAUAUUACCGAAGCUGUGGAUUGUCCUUUGGACAAUGGUAGGAGAGCGUUCUAAGGGCGUUGAAGCAUGAUCGUAAGGACAUGUGGAGCGCUUAGAAGUGAGAAUGCCGGUGUGAGUAGCGAAAGACGGGUGAGAAUCCCGUCCACCGAUUGACUAAGGUUUCCAG
rnacentral:rRNA from 1 species